UAGAAGCAAAGUAGUGCGAUUUGAAUCU
rnacentral:sRNA from 1 species